UACGUAGGGUGCAAGCGUUGUCCGGAAUUAUUGGGCGUAAAGAGCUCGUAGGCGGUCUGUCGCGUCUGCUGUGAAAACUCAGGGCUUAACCCUGAGCUUGCAGUGGGUACGGGCAGACUAGAGUGGCGGUAGGGAGACUGGAAUUCGUGGUGUAGCGGUGGAAUGACGCAGAUAUCAGGAGGAACACCGAGUGGCGAAGGCAGGUCACUGGGCCGCAACUGACGCUGGAGGAGCG
rnacentral:rRNA from 1 species